GUUCCAUUCCAACUGCUGCCGGGACACCUCCCCCUAGAGCUUUCAUAAUUAGUUACUGGGUGGAUAAUCAUGAUGAGUGCCCAGUGCCAAUCUAACUUAUGCACAACCACCAAUGCAACCCAUGAAAAUUGCAUAUAACAAGGAAAAUAUCUUGAAGCUGGAAAGGAAUGGAGGGCCAAAUCUUCAGCUGGAGUAAAUAAGAAUAACACCUCUGAAGUCAAUGGAGCUAUUCCCAUCUACAUCAACUGAGGCUUUAAAGUGCCAAAGCCUUUAAAGUCAUGUACCACCUCAUUAGUAGAAUCCCAGACUCUGAAGGCAGCUGGAUGGUUCACUAGAUAACUCUGCCAUUGCCCCUGAAAGAACAGAAUUGCAGGGGCUGAACUAAACUCAGACCCGCUGAGUUGGUCACACUUCAUUACAGGAGACUGCAGCCUAAGGACCUGGUCUGGAGCAAGAGGAUUAUGAGAUUCCACCUUGACCAAGUGAGACCUAAAUAGGAGUGCUCUCCGGGAGGCGACAAAGAGGUCAGAGAUGUCGUUAACCAGGGAACUGUGACAUAUGUAAAGGAGAGGCCCCAGAGGAGGAAUUACCACAUACUGAUUCCAUAGAAGAGACUGAUGAAUUCAAACUAAAACUAUUAAUGUUGCUCUUAA